rnacentral:rRNA from 1 species
UACGAGGGGGGCAAGCGUUGUUCGGAAUUAUUGGGCGUAAAGGGCGCGUAGGCGGCCACCGCAAGUCGGUUGUGAAAUCUCCGGGCUUAACCCGGAAAGGUCAAUCGAUACUGCGGGGCUAGAGUGCAGAAGGGGCAACUGGAAUUCUCGGUGUAGCGGUGAAAUGCGUAGAUAUCGAGAGGAACACCUGCGGCGAAGGCGGGUUGCUGGGCUGACACUGACGCUGAAGCGCGAAAGCUAGGGGAGCGAACGGG